rnacentral:tRNA from 1 species
GAGGGGAAGGCUCAGUGGUUAAGAGCGCUUCUUGUUCUUAGAGAGGACCUGGGUUCAAUUCCCAGUAUCCUCC